rnacentral:rRNA from 1 species
UACGGAGGGGGCGAGCGUUAUUCGGAAUUAUUGGGCGUAAAGGGCGCGUAGGCGGCUGUACAAGUCAAAGGUGAAAUCCCUCGGCUCAACUGAGGAACUGCCUUUGAAACUGUACGGCUUGAGGCCGGGAGGGGGUAGCGGAAUUCCCAGUGUAGCGGUGAAAUGCGUAGAUAUCGGGAGGAACACCUGUGGCGAAAGCGGCUCACUGGACCACAACUGACGCUGAUGCGCGAAAGCGUGGGUAGCAAACAGG